UACGAAGGGGGCUAGCGUUGUUCGGAAUUACUGGGCGUAGAGCGCACGUAGGCGGAUAUUUAAGUCAGGGGUGAAAUCCCAGAGCUCAACUCUGGAACUGCCUUUGAUACUGGGUAUCUUGAGUAUGGAAGAGGUAAGUGGAAUUCCGAGUGUAGAGGUGAAAUUCGUAGAUAUUCGGAGGAACACCAGUGGCGAAGGCGGCUUACUGGUCCAUUACUGACGCUGAGGUGCGAAAGCGUGGGGAGCAAACAGG
rnacentral:rRNA from 1 species